rnacentral:rRNA from 1 species
AUUGAACGCUGGCGGCAGGCCUAACACAUGCAAGUCGAACGAGUGGCGGACGGGUGAGUAAUGUCUGGGAAACUGCCUCAUAGCGGGGGUUAACUAUUCGAAACGAUAGCUAAUACCGCAUACCAUCGGAUGUGCCCAGAUGGGAUUAGCUAGUAGGUGGGGUAACGGCUCACCUGGGCGACGAUCCCUAGCUGGGCUGAGGGGAUGACCAGCCACACUGGAACUGUGGCACGGUCCAGACUCCUACGGGAGGCAGCAGUGGGGAAUAUGGCACAGUGGGCAGAAGCCUGAUGCAGCCAUGCCACGUGGAUGAAGAAGGCCUUCGGGUUGUAAAGUACUUUCAGCGAGGAGGCGUUACUCGCAGAAGAAGCACCGGCUAACUCCGUGCCAGCCGCCGCGGUAAUUC